UACGUAGGCAGCAAGCGUUGUUCGGAGUUACUGGGCGUAAAGGGUGUGUAGGCGGCUUUUUAAGUUUGGUGUGAAAUCUCCCGGCUCAACCGGGAGGGUGCGCCGAAUACUGAGAGGCUAGAGUGCGGGAGAGGAAAGUGGAAUUCCUGGUGUAGCGGUGAAAUGCGUAGAUAUCAGGAGGAACACCGGUGGUGUAGACGGCUUUCUGGACCGUAACUGACGCUGAGACACGAAAGCUAGGGGAGCAAACAGG
rnacentral:rRNA from 1 species